AUUGAACGCUGGCGGCAGGCCUAACACAUGCAAGUCGAACGAGUGGCGGACGGGUGAGUAAUGUCUGGGAAACUGCCUGCUGGAGGGGGAUAACUACUGGAAACGGUAGCUAAUACCGCAUACCAUCAGAUGUGCCCAGGUGGGAUUAGCUAGUUGGUGGGGUAACGGCUCACCAAGGCGACGAUCCCUAGCUGUUCUCAGAGGAUGACCAGCAACACGGGAACUGAGACACGGGCCAGACGCGUACGGGAGGCAGCAGAGGGGAAUAUUGGCAAAUGGGCGCAAGCCCGAUGCAGCCAUGCCGCGUGGAUGAAGAAGGCCUUCGGGUUGUAAAGUACUUUCAGAGGGGAGGCGUUACCCGCAGAAGAAGCACCGGCUAACUCCGUGCCAGAAGCCGCGGUAAUAC
rnacentral:rRNA from 1 species